rnacentral:rRNA from 1 species
AGUGAACGCUGGCGGCGUGCCUAAUACAUGCAAGUCGAACGGAGCGGCGGGCGGGUGAGUAAUGCCUAGGAAGCUGCCUGGUAGUGGGGGAUAACGUCCGGCAACGGGCGCUAAUACCGCAUACUAUCAGAUGAGCCUAGGUCGGAUUAGCUAGUUGGUGGGGUAAAGGCCUACCAAGGCGACGAUCCGUAGCUGGUCUGAGAGGAUGACCAGUCACACUGGAACUGAGACACGGUCCAGACUCCUACGGGAGGCAGCAGUGGGGAAUAUUGGACAAUGGGCGAAAGCCUGAUCCAGCCAUGCCGCGUGUGUGAAGAAGGUCUUCGGGUUGUAAAGCACUUUAAGUUGGGAGGCGUUACCAACAGAAUAAGCACCGGCUAACUUCGUGCCAGCCGCCGCGGUAAUAC